GAGAGGUGGCUGAGUGGUCGAAAGCGGCGCCCUGCUAAGGCGUUAUACCCCUCGCGGGGUAUCGAGGGUUCGAAUCCCUCCCUCUCC
rnacentral:tRNA from 1 species